rfam:Schistosoma haematobium scaffold1058_11, whole genome shotgun sequence.
AAGCCCAUAUACCUUAUUCUGACUCCAAAUCAGAAGGCUGCGUGUUCGAAUCACGUCGAGCUCA